rfam:Daedalea quercina L-15889 unplaced genomic scaffold DAEQTscaffold_60, whole genome shotgun sequence.
GUUCCCGUCGAUUAGUGGUCAGAUCAUCACGUUGUGGUACCUGAGAAUUCUGGGUGCAAAACCGUGGAGACGAGGGCUCGACUCCCUCCGGGAACA